rnacentral:rRNA from 1 species
UACGAAGGGGGGCUAGCGUUGUUCGGAAUUAGCUGGGCGUGAAGCGCGCGCAGGCGGUCUUCCAAGUCAGUGGUGAAAGCCCGGAGCUCAACUCCGGAACUGCCAUUGAAACUGUAAGACUUGAGGAUGAGAGAGGUGAGUGGAAUUCCCAGUGUAGAGGUGAAAUUCGUAGAUAUUCGGAAGAACACCAGUGGCGAAGGCGGCUCACUGGACUGGUAUUGACGCUGAGGUGCGAAAGCGUGGGGAGCAAACAGGG